rnacentral:rRNA from 1 species
GACGAACGCUGGCGGCGUGCCUAAUACAUGCAAGUAGAACGCAGUUGCGAACGGGUGAGUAACGCGUAGGUAACUGCCUCAUAGCGGGGGACAACUAUUGGAAACGAUAGCUAAUACCGCAUACUGUGAGAUGGACCUGCGUUGUAUUAGCUAGUUGGUGAGGUAAAGGCGCACCAAGGCGACGAUACAUAGCCGACCUGAGAGGGUGAUCGGCCACACUGGGACUGUGGCUGCGCACAGACUCCUACGGGAGGCAGGAGUAGAGAAUCUUCAGCAAUUGACGGAAGGCUGACCGAGCAACGCUGCGUGAGUGAUGAAGGUUUUCGGAUCGUAAAGCUGUGUUGUUAGUGAUGCGGUAACUAGCCAGAAAGGGACGGCUGACUACGUGACAGCGGCCGCGGUAAGUC